rnacentral:rRNA from 1 species
UACGGAGGGUGCGAGCGUUAAUCGGAAUAACUGGGCGUAAAGCGCACGCAGGCGGUUUUUUAAGUGGGGUGUGAAAUCCCCGGGCUUAACCUGGGAACUGCAUUCCAGACUGGGAGUCUAGAGUCCUGUAGAGGGGGGUAGAAUUCCACGUGUAGCGGUGAAAUGCGUAGAGAUGUGGAGGAAUACCGAUGGCGAAGGCAGCCCCUUGGGAAGAUACUGACGCUCAUGUGCGAAAGCGUGGGGAGCAAACAUG